rnacentral:lncRNA from 1 species
AUGAAGAAGAAUGAAGAAAUAAGGUAUUGUCUGAAUUUUAAAUGCAUGCCACAUGACUUAACUCACAUGUUUGAUGUGAAAGAAGGAAAAAGAGAUAGCGAUGAACAGUAACCCGAUUGGAAAAUAUGAACAGUAACCCAUUAGGGGUUUGAACCGGCCGCUUCUCACGGUGGUCGCUGCCACCACAACUCUGUUUCUCCCCCGAUUUGGAGUAUCAGUUUCUCUAAGUCGUGGCGUUUGACAUGAGUUUUGGUUUGAAGCUGUGUUCUUGGAUCUAGAUUGAUUUUUCGAUUUCGGAUUAUGGGUUUGCUGCUGUUGUUGUUGAUGUUACCGUUGUUGUUGUGUUUUAGAUUUCGGUUGCUAUGUCUUCUCCGGC